CCAAGAAGAAAAAGGAAUUCCAUUAUAGAGGUCAAGCUAUGGAUGCAAGUAGUACAAGUGAAAGUUCAGAUGGAAGUUCAGAUGGCAGCAGUUCAGAUGGAAGUUCACAUGGGAGUGGUGGUAAACACAUAUGAGUAAAAGUAAAUUCAUGGAAGAAUAAAAGACAUUGGUGGACCUAUUCCAAUGUUUAGCAUAUGAUGUCUAUUAUAGUUAUGAAUUGUAUGGCAUUAUAAGAAAAAAAAAACACUUUUAAAAACUUUUAUGUUUAUACAUGUAAUGGUUAAAACUGAUUAUAUGAUAAGACAAAAAGACUAUUAUGAUACAUUGUAUAGUUAAGAUAUAAAAAUAGUAUAAUGUGGUAACAGUUAUUUCAAUUCCUAGGACCCGGUUUAAUUUUUUUUAUUCACACUGAACUUUACGUCUUGUGCUAUAGUUUGAAUCAGGCCCGACCCAUCAUAUAUGGUGCUUAGAUCAAAAACAUUUAUGUACCCUUAACAUGGUUAGAACCGGGCACGUAUUGGACAAUUGAAACAUAAUUAACAACGACACCAUAAUUAAUAUUGAAAAUUAAUGUCCUCUAAAACAAAACUAGAGCUACUAUAUAUUUAGAAUUUCAACAUAUAAAACCAUGAUGGGAAUGACUGAUGAUGGUUCUCUAACCCUCGACUGGUUUGGUGAAACUUUAGCAACAUGAACCCGAGCCGUGCUUGUUAAAGAAAAUUUAAAGCAUUGGCUUAGGGUAUCAUUUUAUGCAAAAUUUAUAUAUAGAGCAUAUUUUAGAACUUUUAUUUUUAACAUCAUAUUCAUCUUAGGUUAAAUUUGUCUAUCUAACAAAAUAUUAAAUACCACACAUGCUAAUCAUGAGUAGCCGAUAUACGGACCCAAUACAAAAUACACACAUAUAUAGCUAAGAUAUAUAUGAGUUUUACAAUGAAACAUGCAUUUAUAUAUAAUACUCCCUCUAUUUUAAUUUAUUUGAUGUUUAAUUAUUAUUUUUUUGUAAAAUAAGUGAUGUUCUUAUUAAUCUAGAUAAAAAUUUAAUGUUGUUUGAGAUUUGUGACCAAUUACAUAAUUGAUAAUACUACAUUUUUUAUUGGGUAAUUUAGUUCUAUCUUUUGUGUAAUUAAGAUAAAUUGUAUGGAACUUUACAAGUUCUUAAUCUUUGUGCAUUAAUCUUAAACACCUAUUAAAUUAAAUAAAGGGAACACAUAAUUUGCUAUGAAAAUAAUAUGUUUGUUUGAAAAUGAAUAACCGAUCAAUUGUUUUUCAUUCUAUUUAUUAUGUAUUGGAAUAUGCCUAUACUCAAAUUUGUUAUCGAUUCUUUCUUUUUUUUUAUAUAUAUAUAUAAAAACCAGAUUUCAGUUAUUUUUGAAGUUCUUUCCAAAAUACAUAUUUUAGUAAGAUAUAUGUUUGAAGUUUGUUGAUAAAAAAAAAGAGAGUAAGAUAUAUGUUUAUUGAGUAUUCAGUGAUUUCCACAAAGUCUAUGGUCUAUUCUUUUCAAAAAAAGAGUUUGGGAUCUAAUCUAAAAAUAAACUCUAUUGGGUAUUCCACCUUAUAAUAAUAAUAAUAAUAAUAAUAAUAAUAAUAAGGGCAAUUGUCAAUAAUAGCACCUUUUGAAGUUUAUGUCUCGAAAAUAGCACUAGAAGGAGAAAGUCACAAAAAUAACAUUCAUUAAAGGGUAAAAUAUCCCUAAUACUCUUGGUUUAAAAUUAAAUAAACAAACAAAAAUAAAUAAAAAUAAAUAAAAUAAAAAUUAAAAAAAUGAAAAAAAGAUUUUUUUUUUUUUUAUAGUUUCAGAUUAUAUGUUUUCAGAUUCGAAAUUUUUAUAAUUUUUUUUUUCGAAUUUUUUUUUUUUUUUUUUUAUGGUUGUUGCUUCCGUUGCGUCCGUAGUCUAUUUAGGCUUCGCCGGUGUAACACUCAGUGGUUCAGCCGUGGCAUUAGCCGUAUCCACCCCUCUUUUCAUCAUAUUCAGUCCGAUUCUCUUACCUGCUAUUGCAGCCACUACUGUCCUAGCCGCCGGGCUCGGAGGUAAAAAAGUGGCGGCGGCUCCGGAAGCUUCUCCGGCAGCUUCGCCAUCCCUAUCUCUGUUGGGCAUACCGGAGAGCAUUAAACCAAGUAAUAUUAUACCGGAGAGUAUUAAACCAAGUAAUAUUAUACCGGAGGGUAUUAAACCAAGUAAUAUUAAGGACAAAAUUAAGGAUACGAUAGGCAAAGUUAAGAAUAAGAUCAAAGCUAAAAAGGAAGAAAAAUCCAAAGGUAAAAGUGAAGAUUCUUCCAAGGGUAAAGGUAAAUCAAAGGGUGAAGAUACGACUACGGAUGACGAUACGACUACGGAUGAAGACAAACACGGAAGUGGAGCUAAACACGGAAAGGGAGAGAGUAAACACGGAAAAGGUGAGAGUACACACGGAAAGGGAGGUAAACAUGGAAGUGAAGGUAAGCAUGGAAGUGGAGGUUCGUCUAUGGGUGGAGGUAAACACGGAAGCGGAGGUAAACAUGAAACUGGAGGUAAACACGGAAGCGGAGGUAAACAUGAAAGUGGAGGUUCGCCUAUGGGUGGAGGUAAACAUGGAAGUGAAGGUAAGCAUGGAAGUGGAGGUGCGUCUAUGGGUGGAGGUAAACACGGAAGCGGAGGUAAACAUGAAAGUGGAGGUUCGGCUAUGGGUGGAGGUAAGCACGGAAGUGGAGGCAAACACGGAAGUGAAGGUAAACACGGGGGUGAAGGCUCUUCUAUGGGUAAAAAUAGUCUAUCCAAGAAGAAAAAGGAAUUCCAUUAUAGAGGUCAAGCUAUGGAUGCAAGUAGUACAAGUGAAAGUUCAGAUGGAAGUUCAGAUGGCAGCAGUUCAGAUGGAAGUUCACAUGGGAGUGGUGGUAAACACAUAUGAGUAAAAGUAAAUUCAUGGAAGAAUAAAAGACAUUGGUGGACCUAUUCCAAUGUUUAGCAUAUGAUGUCUAUUAUAGUUAUGAAUUGUAUGGCAUUAUAAGAAAAAAAAAACACUUUUAAAAACUUUUAUGUUUAUACAUGUAAUGGUUAAAACUGAUUAUAUGAUAAGACAAAAAGACUAUUAUGAUACAUUGUAUAGUUAAGAUAUAAAAAUAGUAUAAUGUGGUAACAGUUAUUUCAAUUCCUAGGACCCGGUUUAAUUUUUUUUAUUCACACUGAACUUUACGUCUUGUGCUAUAGUUUGAAUCAGGCCCGACCCAUCAUAUAUGGUGCUUAGAUCAAAAACAUUUAUGUACCCUUAACAUGGUUAGAACCGGGCACGUAUUGGACAAUUGAAACAUAAUUAACAACGACACCAUAAUUAAUAUUGAAAAUUAAUGUCCUCUAAAACAAAACUAGAGCUACUAUAUAUUUAGAAUUUCAACAUAUAAAACCAUGAUGGGAAUGACUGAUGAUGGUUCUCUAACCCUCGACUGGUUUGGUGAAACUUUAGCAACAUGAACCCGAGCCGUGCUUGUUAAAGAAAAUUUAAAGCAUUGGCUUAGGGUAUCAUUUUAUGCAAAAUUUAUAUAUAGAGCAUAUUUUAGAACUUUUAUUUUUAACAUCAUAUUCAUCUUAGGUUAAAUUUGUCUAUCUAACAAAAUAUUAAAUACCACACAUGCUAAUCAUGAGUAGCCGAUAUACGGACCCAAUACAAAAUACACACAUAUAUAGCUAAGAUAUAUAUGAGUUUUACAAUGAAACAUGCAUUUAUAUAUAAUACUCCCUCUAUUUUAAUUUAUUUGAUGUUUAAUUAUUAUUUUUUUGUAAAAUAAGUGAUGUUCUUAUUAAUCUAGAUAAAAAUUUAAUGUUGUUUGAGAUUUGUGACCAAUUACAUAAUUGAUAAUACUACAUUUUUUAUUGGGUAAUUUAGUUCUAUCUUUUGUGUAAUUAAGAUAAAUUGUAUGGAACUUUACAAGUUCUUAAUCUUUGUGCAUUAAUCUUAAACACCUAUUAAAUUAAAUAAAGGGAACACAUAAUUUGCUAUGAAAAUAAUAUGUUUGUUUGAAAAUGAAUAACCGAUCAAUUGUUUUUCAUUCUAUUUAUUAUGUAUUGGAAUAUGCCUAUACUCAAAUUUGUUAUCGAUUCUUUCUUUUUUUUUAUAUAUAUAUAUAAAAACCAGAUUUCAGUUAUUUUUGAAGUUCUUUCCAAAAUACAUAUUUUAGUAAGAUAUAUGUUUGAAGUUUGUUGAUAAAAAAAAAGAGAGUAAGAUAUAUGUUUAUUGAGUAUUCAGUGAUUUCCACAAAGUCUAUGGUCUAUUCUUUUCAAAAAAAGAGUUUGGGAUCUAAUCUAAAAAUAAACUCUAUUGGGUAUUCCACCUUAUAAUAAUAAUAAUAAUAAUAAUAAUAAUAAUAAGGGCAAUUGUCAAUAAUAGCACCUUUUGAAGUUUAUGUCUCGAAAAUAGCACUAGAAGGAGAAAGUCACAAAAAUAACAUUCAUUAAAGGGUAAAAUAUCCCUAAUACUCUUGGUUUAAAAUUAAAUAAACAAACAAAAAUAAAUAAAAAUAAAUAAAAUAAAAAUUAAAAAAAUGAAAAAAAGAUUUUUUUUUUUUUUAUAGUUUCAGAUUAUAUGUUUUCAGAUUCGAAAUUUUUAUAAUUUUUUUUUUCGAAUUUUUUUUUUUUAUUUUUUUUUCAAAUUUUCUUUUUCAAAUUUUCUUUUUAUAAUUUAAAAAUACUUUUUAAAACUGUUUUUAAAAUUUUAUUUUUUAUUUUAUAUUUUUUUUUUAUAAAAUGGGUGGAGGUAAACACGGAAGCGGAGGUAAACAUGAAAGUGGAGGUGCGUCUAUGGGUGGAGGUAAACACGGAAGCGGAGGUAGACAUGAAGGUGGAGGUUCGGCUAUGGGUGGAGGUAAGCACGGAAGUGGAGGCAAACACGGAAGUGAAGGUAAACACGGGGGUGAGGGCUCUUCUAUGGGUAAAAAUAGUCUAUCCAAGAAUAAAAAAGAAUUCCAUUAUAGAGGUCAAGCUAUGGAUGCAAGUAGUACAAGUGAAAGUUCAGAUGGCAGCAGUUCAGAUGGCAGCAGUUCAGAUGGCAGCAGUUCAGAUGGAAGUUCACAUGGGAGUGGUGGUAAACACAUAUGAGUAAAAGUAAAUUCAUGGAAGAAUAAAAGACAUUGGUGGACCUAUUCCAAUGUUUAGCAUAUGAUGUCUAUUAUAGUUAUGAAUUGUAUGGCAUUAUAAGAAAAAAAAAACUUUAAAAAACUUUUAUGUUUAUAAUAUGCAUGUAAUGGUUAAAACUGAUUAUAUGAUAAGACAAAAAGACUAUUAUGAUACAAUGUAUAGUGAAGAUAUAAAAAUAGUAUAAUGUGGUAACAGUUAUUUCAAUUCUUCUUGAAAGGACCCGGUUUAAUUUUUUUUUCACACUGAACUUUCAUUGAUAAAACAUCAAGGUCUAAUACAAAGGUG
rnacentral:lncRNA from 1 species